UUAAAUCAGCCUUCGCCAGCCGCUAGGGUUUAUCCAGAACUCAACUAGGGUUUCAGGAUCCCUCCUCCCUCUGUGUUUUUAGGAUUUUCUUCCCAAUAAUUCUGGUUCAAGAUGUCAAGGGUUUACGUUGGGAAUUUGGAUCCCCGAGUCACUGAACGAGAACUCGAAGAUGAAUUUCGCGUUUUUGGGGUUAUUAGAAGUGUGUGGGUUGCCAGAAGACCCCCUGGUUAUGCUUUCAUUGAUUUUGAUGAUCGCAGGGAUGCUCAAGAUGCCAUCAGGGACCUUGAUGGUAAAAAUGGCUGGAGAGUUGAGCUAUCCCACAACUCUAGAGGUGGAGGUGGAGGCGGCCGUGGUGGGGGUCGUGGACGCUCUGGUUCUGAUUUGAAAUGCUAUGAAUGCGGCGAGCCCGGUCAUUUUGCUCGUGAGUGCCGAAUGAGGGGAGGUUCUGGAAGGCGUAGGAGUCGUAGCCCUGCUGCUAGAUACCGCCGGAGCCCAAGCUAUGGUCGAAGGAGUUUCAGUCCUCGCGCUCGCUCACCUCGACGUCGCAGUUUGUCUCCGAGGCCUCGCAGUUACAGCAGAUCACCUUAUCGUGGGCGAGAGGAAGUGCCAUAUGCCAAUGGAAAUGGUAUCAGAGAAAGGCGUAGGAGCAGAAGCUGAGCUACGAUAUUAUAUGUACUUUUGAAUCUCUACUGAAGUUCUUCAAGUUGUGUGUUUACUGUGCUUGGACUUAUUUACGACUUAGUUAAGCUGGGCGACGCCCUCAGGUUUCGACUCCUGGAUUUGGUUGUGUGUCAUUACUAUUUAAGUAGUGUCUGCCUGGUACUGCUUCAUUGGUUUUGUACAUCUGCACUUGUGGUUUCGACCUUCUCUGCCCUGCUGUGGGAUCUUCAAUUAGAAUGAUUGUGGAUCCCAGCUGGCUACUCUGCUAGAUGCUACUUUUCAUUGCUUGUCUGCGGCUAAGAUGCGUCUCUCCUCAAUAAUUAUGGUUAUAGAACUGCACUUGUGGUUUCGACCUUCUCUGCCCUGCUUGCUGUGGGAUCUUCAAUUUGAAUGAUUGUGAAUCCCGUUGUAGAACUGCACUUGUGGUUUCAACCUUCUCUGCCCUGCUUGAUGUGGGAUCUUUGAUUUGAACGAUUGUUGAUUCAGUUGUAGAACUGCACCUUGUGGUUUCGACCUCGGCCCUGCUCUGGGAUCUUCAAUUUGAAAGAUUGUGGAUCCCGGCUGGCUACUCUGCUAGAUGCUACUUUUCAUUGCUAGUCUGCGGCUAAGAUGCAUCUCUCCUCAAUAAUUAUGGUAUUUGAUUAGAUUUAAGAAUGGUGGUCGGCUUCACAUGCUUCUGGCAGGUAUUUAACCCACUAUGUCGAAGUUGCCAUCUGACUUGAUCCUUAAUACUGCUCGAAAUGGUAUCUUUUUAUCAGCAUGAAUUCAUACCUAAGUAUUGAAUUUACAUAAAUUAUGGUCUGACAUUGUUUUCCGUUAGCUUCCAUAGAGUCUCUUAUUGUCUACUCCACUGUAUAAAGUGUCCCCAUUCUUUUGGGGGUUAUCUCAAGGUUUUCAUGAGUUGGAAGUUGAGGUUUUAGGUAUCACUAUAAAGUAUCACCUUGCACCUGGUCUUGAUUCUGAACUUGUAUGUAAUUUCUUGUGUCUUUCCCUAGCAACCUUUUUUGGCAGAGAUCGAUAGGUGUUCUUCCCUUAAUUGUUUUUUGUCAUGCUGUGCUAUAUGCAGAUUGCAGAGCAUUUUUGUUCCAUAUAUGCUUUUUCCUUAAUUUCUUUGUUGAAAAAAAAAACAAGUUCAUGAACUGCUUCUUCUUGAGCUUCUUUCGUGGUGUAUUUGCAAUGAGAUGCUGCAGGUAUUUUUGACCAACUUUUUUCUCUUUUGGUGAGUCGAUUAUAGGUUGGGAUUAUGGUAUAAUCUCAAAUUCAUUUGAAUCAGGGCCCUGAUGUUAUUGGGUUAGGAUUACAAUAGAAAUUUGAUUGGCAUAAUUUUGGCUUUCGACUUAGAGGCGCAAACUUUAUUGGUGGUCCUGGAUUUCUGCAAUGAACCUUGAGGCAGUUUGUCUUCUUCGUUGUUAAGACAGGCAUUUAAUCAAAUUACUGUCUCCUUUUCAGUUAUUCUUGUGUUUUUGUUUGGCUUAGCAGAAGGCGAUAUUAGUAAAAUAAUUUGUAUUUUGAUUCGUGAAGCUAAUGAAUGUACGAUAUGUAAUUCGAAACAUCUCUGCCUCUGUUUUGGUUGAUUCUCUUUGUUGUAGCAAAUGAUUGUGUAGUCAUAAUUCCCUUAUCUAUAUCGAUACUAGCGUAUCUUCGAUUA